rnacentral:rRNA from 1 species
AAUCAACGCUGGCGGCGUGCCUAACACAUGCAAGUCGAACGCGAAAGCCCCGCAAGGGUGGAGUAGAGUGGCAAACGGGUAGAGUAACACGUGGGUGACCUGCCUUCGAGUGGGGAGUAACGUCCCGAAGGGACGGCUAAUACCGCAUGACAUCCUGUCCUUGGACGGACGGAGAUCAAAGCUGGGGAUCGCAAGACCUGGCGCUUGAAGAGGGGCCCGCGCCUGAUUAGCUAGNGGUUGAGGUAACGGCUCACCAAGGCAACGAUCAGUAUCCGGCCUGAGAGGGCGGACGGACACACUGGGA